AUCACCUGGGAAUCUGGUUAAAGUGCAGAUUCUGAUUCAGUAAGUCUGACGUAAGGCCUGAGACUCUGCAUUUCUAACAACACCCCAGGUGAUGCCAA
rnacentral:pre_miRNA from 1 species